AGUCUGCAACUUAGCAUCAAGUAACAAGACAUAAGCUCUCAUCCACCUCCGCAUGAAGGGCUUCCAUGAUUGCAAAGAAAGAAUUGAUAUCAAUAUAUUUCUUGACAGUUGAAGAGAUGUUGCUAUAUCAAUCAGUGAGGCUUCAUAUUUAGCUUGUACAUCUUGCAAGUCCUCUGAUGCUCCUGGCUUCCUUGAAUCUUUCUUUGUAAAGGGAAGGCAAAAAAGAGCUGCACCAGGUAAUUCUUUUUCUCUUCUUUCUUUUCCUGAAGCAAAGAUGAGACGUGGAAAAACAUCUAACAGCUUCUCAAUUUUGUUUCCAGACACCUUUUUCUGCUUUACUAAUCUUCGCCGGGUGAUGUGCUCGAAAGUUAUAAGUUUGACUUCAAAUCCUUCCAGCGCAGUAAGCACUUCAGGGUCAGUCUCGGACACAAGAUACUCCAAGUUUCUGUCCUUGAAGUCCGGAAUACUUCUUUCAAGAUGCUCUACCUCAUAACUGGUUAAUGCCACAAAGGCAGAUGCCCGAGCUUUGGACCAUAAGGAAGCUUGUCUACAAUCUUGGGAGGUUCCAAUAUUCCAUAGUAUCUUCAACACAUCUACUGAUGCCUCAGGGUAUGCUUGUGCAUCCAUCGCACCCCAGUUCAAAAGAAGACAGAGGCUGUGAGCAACCAUGGCGUUCGCUGAGUAGUUUAGCACAUGCUUUGCAAUCACAUCCCAAGCAGAAUAAAAAUCAAUGGCAUCGGCUUCACAGAGGUGGCCAAGGCUUUGAAGACCCAGAGACUGCACUAAAGGAUCUUGAUUCUCCACGCAAGCCGCAAUGGAUAAAAUAAGGUCCACUCCACGAUCAGGAUUUCUUCUGCAGAUAUCACAGAUGGAAACAGCCAUGCUAAUGCAAAUAUCUCGCUUAGACGCAAACCGAGUAAAUCUAUUCGCAAG
rnacentral:misc_RNA from 1 species